AAGAGGAGAACAAAGUCGCGUAUAUUAAAUUCCUUUUUCACAAUCCUUUUGUCAUGCCAAGCUUUGGUUCUUUCUUUGUAUAUAACGGCAUUCUCGUAAGCGUUCUGGCGGAGUUCCUCCAAUUUGUGGAUAUCAAGGAUUCGCUUCUUGCCAGAUGCUAGGUAAUCUAAAUUCAGGGUCUUGAUGGCCCAAUAUGCCUUGUGCUU
rnacentral:lncRNA from 1 species